UGAGUAACACGUAUCCAACCUGCCGUCUACUCUUGGACAGCCUUCUGAAAGGAAGAUUAAUACAAGAUGGCAUCAUGAGUCCACAUGUUCACAUGAUUAAAGGUAUUCCGGUAGACGAUGGGGAUGCGUUCCAUUAGACAGUAGGCGGGGUAACGGCCCACCUAGUCUUCGAUGGAUAGGGGUUCUGAGAGGAAGGUCCCCCACAUUGGAACUGAGACACGGUCCAA
rnacentral:rRNA from 1 species